rnacentral:misc_RNA from 1 species
UAGAAUACUGGUAAUGAAGUUUGUGCCUUCAUUAAGAAUUUAUUUAUGCUAAUCAGCUAACGCUGUGGAUUCUUACUAUGAGUAUUUGACAAUAUUAGUUUUUAUACUCAUGCUAUGAAAUUCACCUACAUGUUGAGCUCUAUAGUGAAUUUAAUCUCAAAUAUGCAUUUUCCUUCAUCUUUUUUGGCUAUUUAAUAUUUAAAAUCCCUGGUGCUUUGAAUCCUUUGCAUCAUCGACAUGAUUGGCAGAACUUCAGUCCAUUUAUUUCCCUGGAAAACUGAUCACUGUAGGUAGAAGAUAUACUUGUUUUGUUUAUGCUUCAAGAAAAGCACUACUUUUGUUGCUCCCUGAAUGGUGCCUGCAUGAUCUAUCCCUGUUGAAAACGCGCGCAAACACACACACAGAGACAGAGGUGGGGAGGGAUUUGUGUGUGUCAAAAAGAUAGGGAGAGAGGGGUAUGUGAUGAGAGGAGCAGGGAGGACUGAGGGAUGGGGAGUAUGUGUUCUGGGAAUUCAGUUUUGUUGAAAUUGUUUCAAUUUUUUUAUUUUAUUUUAUGGAUUGUUAAAGAGCUGGUUGCUUGUUCAGUUUUGGGUUUCAUAGUCUAAAUCGUG